GACGAACGCUGGCGGCGUGCCUAAUACAUGCAAGUAGGACGCACAGUUUAUACCGUAGCUUGCUACACCAUAGACUGUGAGUUGCGAACGGGUGAGUAACGCGUAGGUAACCUGCCUAUUAGAGGGGGAUAACUAUUGGAAACGAUAGCUAAUACCGCAUAACAGUAUGUAACACAUGUUAGAUGCUUGAAAGAUGCAAUUGCAUCGCUAGUAGAUGGACCUGCGUUGUAUUAGCUAGUAGGUAGGGUAAUGGCCUACCUAGGCGACGAUACAUAGCCGACCUGAGAGGGUGAUCGGCCACACUGGGACUGAGACACGGCCCAGACUCCUACGGGAGGCAGCAGUAGGGAAUCUUCGGCAAUGGGGGGAACCCUGACCGAGCAACGCCGCGUGAGUGAAGAAGGUUUUCGGAUCGUAAAGCUCUGUUGUUAAGGAAGAAACGAGUGUGAGAAUGGAAAGUUCAUACU
rnacentral:rRNA from 1 species